rnacentral:tmRNA from 1 species
GGGGGCGUUUUUGGCAUUCGACAGGGCGUAGUUGGAUUCGGAUAGCAGUGGGGUGGUUUUCCUCGUAAACCAAAAUUAAAAAUAACUGACAAUCGUCAAUUAUCAUUUGCUGCCUAAUUAAGCGAUAUUGCUUUGCAGCCUCAACCUUAAUUACUCCAUUGGGUUAGGGAUUGGUGUAAGAUACACUGGAUAGGUCGAUAAGAUGCUCAAUAAUUGAGACCGAAAUUGAUUGAGAAAACGCAAAUAUUGACUGUUUGUCAUCAAAUUUGUUGUUAUAUUUGAUAAACUAAACUGUAGAAGUCUGAAUGUGGGACACGUUUUGGACAGGGGUUCGAAUCCCCUCGUCUCCACCA